rnacentral:rRNA from 1 species
UGCGUAGGCGGAUUAAUAAGUCAGUGGUGAAAACCUUCAGCUUAACUGGAGACUUGCCAUUGAUACUGUUAGUCUUGAGUACGGUCAAGGUAGGCGGAAUGUGUAAUGUAGCGGUGAAAUGCUUAGAUGUUACACAGAACACCGAUUGCGAAGGCAGCUUACUGGGCCAUUACUGACGCUGAUGCACGAAAGCGUGGGGAGCGAACAGGAUUAGAUACCCUGGUAGUCC